UGAGGAAUUUUCCGCAAUGGCCUAACGGCUGACGGAGCGACACAGCGUGAAGGACGAAGCCUUUCGGGGUGUAAACUUCUUUUCUGAAGGAAUAAGGUCUGAAGUUACUUCAGGAAUAAGCACCGGCUAACUAUGUGCCAGCAGCCGCGGUAAUACAUAGGGUGCAAGCGUUAUCCGGAAUUAUUGGGCGUAAAGCGUCUGUAGGCGGCGUGCCAAGUAGAGGAUGAAAGCCCAGGGCCCAACCCUGGUUACGUUUUCUAAACUGGUAUGCUAGAGAAAUGGAGAGGUGCAUGGAAUUUCUAGUGUAGGGGUAAAAUCCGUUGAUAUUAGAAGGAACGCUAAAAGCGAAGGCAGUGCACUGGUCAUUUCUGACGCUGAGAGACGAAAGCGUGGGGAGCAA
rnacentral:rRNA from 1 species